AGCAAUUUGUGAGGCAGCGUGUAAUUGGAUGCUGACUGCAGGAAUGUCUACUAGAGCUGUUGCCCGUGAAAUGAAUGUUCAUUUCUCUGCCAUAAGCCAUCUUCAAAGGCGUUUCAGAGACUUUGGCAGUACAUCCAACCGGCCUCACAAUCGCAGACCACGUGUAAGCACACCAGCCCAGUACCUCCACAUCCAGCAUGUUCAUCUCCAGGAUCGUCUGAGACCAGCCACCCGGACAGCUGCAGCAAAAGUCGGUUUGCAUAACCAAAGAAUUUUGGCACAAACUGUCAGAAACCGUCUCAGGGAAGCUCACCUGCAUGCUCGUCAUCCUCAUCGGGGUCUGGACCUGACUGCAGUUCAUCAUCGUAACCGACUUGAUUGGGCAGGUAAACUGUGCAGACAGAGUGGAAAGGACAGUGUUAAGAAACCAGCACUGUAUUUGGCCCUGAAGUAAAUAUCAGCAAGGUGACAGCAGCAAACCUUACAGAUCCUCAAGCUGCCUAAAAGUGUAAGUGAAGUAGGAGGAGGAGCUUUUCUGUGAUCUUUCUAUGUAAGAAUCAGCCAAGGUGCAGCAGUGGGCGAUACAUUUACUCUAUCCUUUUAUUAUUACCCCCCCUUUUCCCCCGUCUGUCCUUCCUUAGACAUUGUGUUAUUAUAGUUUCAUGUAGUAUAAUAUGACUAAUAGAAAUGAAUAAAUAAACAGAUUAAAGAUUCAUAUCAAAAACAAUACAAGAUGUUUGGCACCACGGUGCAUUCAUAUCACAAUU